UGCUUGAAAGCUUUUAGAAGCGUCGGAUUUUUAACCCGAGGAUGAGAAAUUUCUCUCAAGCAC
rnacentral:tRNA from 1 species